CUUAAGGUCAAUUUUUUGGCCUAAUUGAAUCAAAGCACAAUUUUCCCAAAAUAAUUUAUUAGUUUUAAUUUUUAUUUUUAUUUUUCAUUUCUCUUUCCUUUUAUUUUCUUUUGUUUAGUAUUUUCUCUUAAAUUUUUCAAAAACUAAAUAUAAGUAAGAAAUUCUAGCAAUUACUUAAAUAGUGGUUGUAAGUCGACGUCAGCAGACUCAGCACUCAGCAGAGAAAAUUUUCAGUGAUUUCUUUACCUUUACUCUGUCUCGACCUCUCGCCGGCGUCAGCUACAGAUGGAUCCACAAACACAGCCGUAUAUGCACAGGGAAUUUGGGAAAUCAACAGGUUUGAUGGGAAUGUUGUAUGCUGUAAUAUAUCUGGCAUUCGAACAAAUCACUGAGUGGCUAUACACGCUGCUAUUGAAACAAAUCAAUGAGCGGGCUAUACACGCUGCUAUUCAAACAUCCGAAAAAGGUUAUUGGCUGAGUGUUACAGACGAAAAUGUGAGAAGCUAUGCUUGCAGUUUCGGGAAGUGUUAUUGGCUGGGACUGACAGACUACCCCCGAAGAAGAUAUACAGAGAAUUUAAGAAAAUGUUACUUGCUCUGGGGAGACCAAAGUGGGAGGAGCUAGACAGGGACUGUUUGGUGAUCGUGCUUCAAAAAGCAUGACUGAAGUCAUUAGUGUCCAGUGCUCCCUAUGUCUGCAAAACAUGGCAUGAAGCAAGCCUUGAUCCUAAGUGCUGGGAAGAUCUUGCUUUUCCUGAACAUAUUGACUUAAUGAUGGAAGUGACGGAACGGCUAGGUGGCAUUUCAAGGACUGCAUUCAUAAGGGCCAUAGUUGAUCGAAGUGGACGACAUGCUACUUCAAUUAUGCUGUCCAAUGACUUCUCCAUAGAAGCAUUGGAGUAUGUCAGUAACUAGUGCCCUGCCUUGAAGUCUUUGGCUCUGCAUCAUCCUAUGGCUCACCAGAAAGCAGUUGUUAUUUCAAACCAGAUAAGCAAAUGGGGAAAUCUUGAAACAGCAACCCUCAUGAGGGCCUGUCAUAUGAAGAAAAUAGUACCCCUAAUCAGUCUUCAUUGCAAGAACUUUACUGAUCUAAGGGCUCCCCAAUCCUACAUUGGGGAAGAUGAAGCAUCACUCGUUGUCACCCAUCUGCCAAAGAUUAAGCACUUGAGUUUAAAAGGAUCAACCAUUGAGGGGGAGACUCUAGUGAUGAUAAUACUGGGAUGCAAAGAGCUUGCGAGUUUAGACGCCAGGGACUGCACUGGUUUUAAGGCUGAUGAUGCUGGGAUACUGCAACUUGCUUCACAUAUUCCUGCAUUCAAGUGUGAAGGUUCCAGGGAUUUUAAGAAUUACAGACACAGGCUAGUCAAUGGUGUUCCACAACAAGACCUUGAAGAGGGCCAUAUUGAUAUUGAAUGGGAUUGCCUUUUUCAUAACUUUGGAUAGCUUGAUGGGCUGAGUUCAGCAGGGCUUGGUAACCCAGAGCUGCCAUGAGAAAUUCCCACAUGUAUACACAAAUAAUGUAAGAUGAACUAUCCAUACGCCAAUGUUUUUGCCAUCCUAAACUCUUCAAAACACGUCCUACAUUCUCCAAAACAUGUUGCCAUUGUCUGAGCCUUUUGUAGUCUACCUGUGGAUGUAGCUUUGGCCAAUAAAGAGCGUUUAGGAGUGUUUUUCUCGUCCAAGUAUUUUUAGUUAUAAAAAGUAAUACAAAUAAUUUUGUAAUUUUUU